rnacentral:rRNA from 1 species
UUUGGCCCCCAAUCAAGCAAGGCUACCCGCUGAACUUAAGCAUAUCAAUAAGCGGAGGAAAAGAAACCAACAGGGAUUGCCCUAGUAACGGCGAGUGAACAGGCAAGAGCUCAGAUUUGAAAGCCUCUCGGGGCAUUGUAUUCUGAAGCCUUGAUUCUGAGAAACGGUACCUAAGUCUUCUGGAAAGGAGCGCCAAGGAGGGUGAUAGCCCCGUACGGUACUGACCUCAUUGUAGAAUCUUGGCGUGGAGUCGAGUUGUUUGGGAAUGCAGCUCAAAUGGGUGGUAUGCUCCAUCUAAAGCUAAAUAUCUGCGAGAGACCGAUAGCGAACAAGUACUGUGAAGGAAAGAUGAAAAGAACUUUGAAAAGAGAGUGAAAAAGUACGUGAAAUUGUUGAAAUGGAAGGAUAGGCCGCUAACCACGUAGAGCCGUGUCUGAGGGGAGGAUAAAAGCUGUAGAAUGUGACUCUUCGGAGUGUUAUAGCUACAGUGCAUACUCCCACUCGGGCGCGAGGACCUAAGGCUCUGCUAAAUGGUGGUCUAUCAC